GCAAAAUCCUUCAGACAACAAUCAAAACCUACUAAGAUAUUGAAGGGAUUUAUCAAAUAAAUGGAAGUACAGAGAAAACAGAGCUAAUAAGCAACUAACACAACUCAAAAAAAGCUAGAAUUAGUAGUGUACUGUUAAGAAGAUACCAAAUCAUGCCUAGGUAAUACUAGAGCCCAAAAUUGAGAUAUACAAUGUAUCAGCAUGACCAACCACAAGCAGGGUAACACAGGGAAGAAGUUGCCUUCUUAAAGUCACACCCCUGUUUUGCGCAUUUCAGCAUCCCCGUGGGCAAAGUGGCACCUAUCCCCAAAA
rnacentral:misc_RNA from 1 species